rnacentral:rRNA from 1 species
AGUGAACGCUGGCGGUAGGCCUAACACAUGCAAGUCGAACGGCAGCACAGUAAGAGCUUGCUCUUACGGGUGGCGAGUGGCGGACGGGUGAGGAAUACAUCGGAAUCUACUUUUUCGUGGGGGAUAACGUAGGGAAACUUACGCUAAUACCGCAUACGACCUACGGGUGAAAGCAGGGGAUCUUCGGACCUUGCGCGAUUGAAUGAGCCGGUGUCGGAUUAGCUAGUUGGCGGGGUACAGGCCCACCAAGGCGAGGAUCGGUAGCUGGUCUGAGAGGAGGAACAGCCACACUGGAACUGAGACACGGUCCAGGCUCCGACGGGAGGCAGCAGUGGGGAAUAUUGGACGAUGGGCGGAAGCCUGAACCAGCCAUAGCGCGUGGGUGAAGAAGGCCUUCGGGUGGUAAAGCCGUUUUGUUGGGAAAGAAAAGCAGCAGGUUAAUACCCCGCUGUUCGGAGGGAACCCAAAGAAGAAGCACCGGCUAACUUCGU